rnacentral:lncRNA from 1 species
UCCUCGCUACAAACGACCUCUUCACGGUGGACCAAUUCCAACACUAAUUUCGUGAAACGCCAAACAAACCAUGCAUUUGCAUUCAACUGUAUUUUUGUCUUUUUUGUUAAUUUGUGCGUUUUCUCAAGUGCAAGUGACCCACACAAAAUACAUUCAUUAUGUGGAGUUUAUAACCACGCCGAAUGUCGCCAAACAAGGGAACAUUAUUUCCGUGAAAAAUUGCAAUGAGGGUUACAAGUAUAUCAGGAAUAGCUGCAGGAAAGUGUUCGGACCUUAACAGAAGCAGCGGUAAGACGUCCCAGUUCAAAAACUGGUACGUCCAAAUAUCUCCACUUCAUAAGAAAUGUCCGAUAAUCCAACUGCAUGAGAUGUCCAAAAAAUAUCAACUAGAAGCCUUGCUGCUGCUUACUAUUAAUUAAUUUAUUGCAUCUUUUGUUCAAAUUAGUGCACGGUUUUACUCAUAAAAUUACCAAUGAAACGCUGUCGAAGCUUCAAAUACAAAAUUUGUGAUACAUAGCUAAGAGUAUGAUUAGAUUAGGUCGCACUAACAAUGUUACGUUUAAGUUUGUUAAGUUACGAGAAGUUAACUAGAAAGUAGGCAGAUAAAAUUUCCCUUGAAGCUCAUGUAAAAGGCGAAAUAUUGGUGUGAAAUUGAGCUUCAAGGGAAUGGAAAACGAACUCAUCAAAGCCUGAAAACGGCCAAUAUAAUUAGGACUUUGAUGAAAUUUAUCAUUCAGCCGAGCCUGUUUAGAAAAAUGUAAGAUAUCUGUUCACCUUCGUCUUCACUACUUACCUGGUAGACAUUAAAACACUUUGUCAUGA